GAGCUGGUGGAUUCUCUAGAGGCCACAGUCAGCGGCAAGAUGAUCACCCCUGAGUACCUCCAGAGCGUCUGUGUCCGCCUGUUCAGUAACCAGAUGCGGCAGAGCCUGGCGCAUAGUGUGGACUUCACGAGGCCUGGGACGGUGAGGCUCUGCGCUCAGGGCAGGGUGCCCGUGGUCUAUCCCCCCAAAUUUAAAAAGAAUGUAACUUUAAAAAUAGCAUGAAAAAAUAACAUGCAAGAGGCUGCAUUUAAGCUGGC
rnacentral:lncRNA from 1 species